CGCCGGUGGCGCGGGCGGCAGGCGGGGCGGGAGCGUCCGGAGCCCCCUCCCCCCAUCUCCCCUUCCAGAGUAGGGGGCUGCAGCAGCUUUCCCGAGCUGCUUUUGUAUCUAAGUCUCCCCGCUCUUGUCUUUCACGUUUCCCACCCCUCCUGCCUCCCUCUUUCUUAUCGCUCCCCCCACCCCACCUCAGGUCUUCUCUGCCUCCCCCUGUCUCGGCCGCCGCCACAGGUCUCUGUCCCUCUGUCCCCCUUUUCUCCGUUCUCUCCACCCUUCCUGGUCUUUCUCUCCAUCUCCCUGGUUUCCUUUUUUCUAUGUCUUCAAGUGUUCUCCCCCACCCCCCACCGCCAUUUCCUUCUCUCUGUCUCUCUUCCUCUCUCAUCUCUGCCCCACGCGUCCCUGCUUCUCUCUGUCUCUCUCACCACCCCACCUCCCGCAGGCCCUCUCUUCAGUCGGUCGUCCCCUCACCCUCUCUCUGUUCUCUGUGAGACAGGUCAGAGGAGAGAACCAGAGGCUAAUGGCCUUAGUCUCCAAAACAGGGUGAAUGACGUGGCUGGCUACACAGAUGUUGGAGAGAAUGUCCACAGCUUUUAUCUGAUUCCUGGAGGAGGCUGGGACCCAGACAGCCUUUGAAACUGGUGUUUUAACGAGUCUUGUGGAAAUUAAACAAAACCACCCAGGCCCGGGGGCAGGCGUCUCCUGGAAGCACCUCCCAAAUAAACCACUUGCCUCCCAUCCUUGUGGAGCUUCAGUGGCUUCUGUGGAGCCCAACCUAAGACAUCGGCCAGGAGGGGAUAUGGUGGGCGGACGGGCAGAGAGACGGCACAAGGGGCAUGAGAUCCCCCUGUGACGGUGAAUUGUACAUGUCACUCGGCUGGGCUGUCAUACCCAUAUGUCUGGUCAAACGUCACUCUAGAUUUUGCUGUGAAGGUAUUUUUCAUAUGAGACUAACUCAUUUAUAAAUGAGUAAAGCAGAUUACCCUUCAUAGUGUGGUGGGCCUCAUCUAAUCAGUUGAAAGCCUUAAGAGAAAAAGACUGAGGUCCCCUAAGAAAGAGGGAAUUUUGCUUCCAGAUUGCCUUUGAACUUGAGCUGUAACAUCAGCAUCUCUCUGGGUCUCAGACCUGCCCUGUGGAAUUGGGACCUGGCAGCCCCUACGACUGCACGUGCCAAUUCUUUAAAAUAAAUAUCUAUCAUCUAUCUAUCUAUCAUCCAUCUAUCUAUGUGUAUCCAUCCGUCGGUCUACCUAUCCAUCUAUCUAUCUGUACAUCCUGUUGGUUCUGUUUCUCUGGGGAACCCUCACUAAUACCUCCCACACCUAAAAUGUUGUGUACGUGAGACAUGGCAAAGGAACAACAACAAAAAAAACCCAUAAAAGUUUGAGAUGUAGCAACAGAUGAAUGGAUAAGCAAAAUGUGCUAUAUUCAAUGCAGCGGACUAGUACUCAGCCAUAAAAGGCACUAAUGCAUGCUGCCACAUGGACGGACUGUGAAAACAUUAAGCUAAGUGAAAGAAGCCAGGCCACGUAUUGUAUGAUUCUAUUUAAAAGAAAUGUCCAGAACAGGCAAAUCCCUAGAGACAGAAAGCAGAUUAGUGGUUGCCAGGGGCUGGGAGGAGGGGUGAAUGUGGAGUGACUGCUGACGGGUACGGGGUUUCCUUUUUUGGGGUGAUGAAAAUGUUCUAGAACUAGAUGGA